UUGUGUUUGAUACCCUGAGAAGC
rnacentral:piRNA from 1 species